UACACAUGCAGUCGGACGGUAGCACAGAGGAGCUUGCUCCUUGGGUGACGAGUGGCGGACGGGUGAGUAAUGUCUGGGGAUCUGCCCGAUAGAGGGGGAUAACCACUGGAAACGGUGGCUAAUACCGCAUAACGUCGCAAGACCAAAGAGGGGGACCUUCGGGCCUCUCACUAUCGGAUGAACCCAGAUGGGAUUAGCUAGUAGGGGGGGUAAUGGCCCACCUAGGCGACGAUCCCUAGCUGGUCUGAGAGGAUGACCAGCCACACUGGAACUGAAACCCGGUCCACACUCCUACGGGAGGCCACAGGGGGGAAUAUUGGAAAAUGGGCACAAACCCUGGGCCACCAUGCCGAGGGGUUUAAGAAGGGCUUCGGGUUGAACAGGACUUUCCGCGAUGUAGAA
rnacentral:rRNA from 1 species